rnacentral:rRNA from 1 species
CUUGCUCCUUUGACGUUAGCGGCGGACGGGUGAGUAACACGUGGGUAACCUACCUAUAAGACUGGGAUAACUUCGGGAAACCGGAGCUAAUACCGGAUAACAUUUGGAACCGCAUGGUUCUAAAGUGAAAGAUGGUUUUGCUAUCACUUAUAGAUGGACCCGCGCCGUAUUAGCUAGUUGGUAAGGUAACGGCUUACCAAGGCGACGAUACGUAGCCGACCUGAGAGGGUGAUCGGCCACACUGGAACUGAGACACGGUCCAGACUCCUACGGGAGGCAGCAGUAGGGAAUCUUCCGCAAUGGGCGAAAGCCUGACGGAGCAACGCCGCGUGAGUGAUGAAGGGUUUCGGCUCGUAAAACUCUGUUAUUAGGGAAGAACAAACGUGUAAGUAACUGUGCACGUCUUGACGGUACCUAAUCAGAAAGCCACGGCUAACUACGUGCCAGCAGCCGCGGUAAUACGUAGGUGGCAAGCGUUAUCCGGAAUUAUUGGGCGUAAAGCGCGCGUAGGCGGUUUCUUAAGUCUGAUGUGAAAGCCCACGGCUCAACCGUGGAGGGUCAUUGGAAACUGGGAAACUUGAGUGCAGAAGAGGAAAGUGGAAUUCCAUGUGUAGCGGUGAAAUGCGCAGAGAUAUGGAGGAACACCAGUGGCGAAGGCGACUUUCUGGUCUGUAACUGACGCUGAUGUGCGAAAGCGUGGGGAUCAAACAGGAUUAGAUACCCUGGUAGUCCACGCCGUAAACGAUGAGUGCUAAGUGUUAGGGGGGUUUCCGCCCCUUAGUGCUGCAGCUAACGCAUUAAGCACUCCGCCUGGGGAGUACGACCGCAAGGUUGAAACUCAAAGGAAUUGACGGGGACCCGCACAAGCGGUGGAGCAUGUGGUUUAAUUCGAAGCAACGCGAAGAACCUUACCAAAUCUUGACAUCCUUUGAAAACUCUAGAGAUAGAGCCUUCCCCUUCGGGGGACAAAGUGACAGGUGGUGCAUGGUUGUCGUCAGCUCGUGUCGUGAGAUGUUGGGUUAAGUCCCGCAACGAGCGCAACCCUUAAGCUUAGUUGCCAUCAUUAAGUUGGGCACUCUAGGUUGACUGCCGGUGACAAACCGGAGGAAGGUGGGGAUGACGUCAAAUCAUCAUGCCCCUUAUGAUUUGGGCUACACACGUGCUACAAUGGACAAUACAAAGGGCAGCUAAACCGCGAGGUCAUGCAAAUCCCAUAAAGUUGUUCUCAGUUCGGAUUGUAGUCUGCAACUCGACUACAUGAAGCUGGAAUCGCUAGUAAUCGUAGAUCAGCAUGCUACGGUGAAUACGUUCCCGGGUCUUGUACACACCGCCCGUCACACCACGAGAGUUUGUAACACCCGAA